CUUUCUAUUGAAGCAAUCCCUAACUUAGUUUUAGUCUCUAAAAGUGUUAUUUAAAGACCGCAUUUCAUAAGCUAUAUAUAAUUCCUACAGUAAUGUCUCUUUAACUUGAACAUUAUAAAUAAUAUUUGACUUAUUUCAGAUGCAGCGGGAGAUGGAAAGGAAUAUAACUAGAGAACUAGAAGAAGCUGCUGCUGGAUUUGAAUCAGACUCAUUGUGUAAGACCUCCUCUUUAGAAUCUACUUGUGAACCACAUGUAAAGUACGAUCUACUAGAGAAAUCGUCAAAAGGAUUUUUACAGACUUUGAAGAAAAAGUACAUGUUCUGAAAGAUCAAUAAUAAUUCAUUUACUGGAUGUUUGUAUAACAUCUUAAUUGUGUCCUACUAAACGUAUGAUGUGUGAAAAUCUUUAUUAAAGGAAACAGGUUUGGAUCAUA